rnacentral:rRNA from 1 species
GGCGGGUGCCUAACACAUGCAAGUCGAGCGGUAACAGGUGUAGCAAUACAUGCUGACGAGCGGCGAACGGGUGAGUAAUGCUUCGGAAUCUGCCCAAUGGUGGGGAAUAACCAGCCGAAAGGUUGGCUAAUACCGCAUAAGUCCUACGGGGGAAAGCAGGGGAUCGUAAGACCUUGCGCCGAUGGAUGAGCCGAAGUCGGAUUAGCUAGUUGGUAGGGUAACGGCCUACCAAGGCGACGAUCCGUAGCUGGUCUGAGAGGACGACCAGCCACACUGGGACUGAGACACGGCCCAGACUCCUACGGGAGGCAGCAGUGGGGAAUAUUGGACAAUGGGGGAAACCCUGAUCCAGCGACGCCGCGUGUGUGAAGAAGGCCUGCGGGUUGUAAAGCACUUUUAGUGGGGAUGAAAAGCUCAGGGCUAACACCUCUGGGUCUUGACCUAACCCAAAGAAAAAGCACCGGCUAACUCUGUGCCAGCAGCCGCGGUAAUACAGAGGGUGCGAGCGUUAAUCGGAAUUACUGGGCGCUAAGCGUGCGU